rnacentral:lncRNA from 1 species
CUAGGCUCAUGCGUGUCUGCGCGCGGGGCUGCUCCGUUCCCGGCUUAGAGGACCAGGACAAGGGCUAGCCACCGCUGCAUGCUGGAGGCUGUGGCUGCGGCACCACAGCUCGCCUCGCUGCGGUUGGUGGCAGCGACGGAGACUGCAGUGUGGCUGGAGCGCUGUGGUCAUGGACAUGUUCACCCAUGUGGACAUCUUCAAAGACCUGCUGGACGCCGGCUUCAAGAGGAAAGCAGCUUUGUACAUCAUCGUGGACGAGAGUAAAGUCAAGUACGUUCUGCAUAUGUGUGAGCGGACCCGCAUGCACCUGGGGCACCUCAAGGCAUCCUCUGAAGAUCUUGAAAUGUAUCCCCUAUGGAUAAAGGAGGACUACUAUAUUCUCAAUGGAUUUUGCAAGAAGAAAAUUAAUCAUUCACAAAAUAUUUUAACCUUAGAAUUUAAAUAAAUGUGUAUAUUCUCUACAAGUUAAACACAAAUAUUGUAAUAACCUAUGGCCACUUUUUCUUAUUUUUAUGCCAUUUGAGUAAUGACUGGUAUUGAUUUGCUGAGGUUCAAAUUUCGAAUUCUAG